GGGCACGGCAGUAGAGCACGUAUACCUCAUCGAUCGACACGACGACACCGACCGAGGAAUCGAGCAACGUAUGUAUUUUUUAGCAUCAGUAACUUACUAUAUGUCUAUAUGUUGUCUAAACAUCACUAACUUGGAAAGAGUAUCGAUGAUAUAAGGUUUGAGGUUUUUGCAUCAGUAAGUUAGUAUAAGGUUUGAGGUUUUUGCAUCAGUAAGUUCCAUUUUUUUAGCAUCAGUAAGUUAGUAUAAGGUUUGAGGUUUUUGCAGAUGCCUAAUAGUAUUGACGAUAUAGUAGACAUGGAAUUGGAAAGAGAAUCUAUGGGUAAUGCUACUCAAUUUGAGCAAGCAACUGUGGAAACAACAGGUGAUCAGUCACAAACUAUACGGGGUAAAUCUAGUGGAACUGAAGGCCAAGUGGAUGCUAAUUUUGUAGACCCUGAGAACGAAACUGAGAAAAAGGAGGCAAGGAAGGAGAUUG
rnacentral:lncRNA from 1 species